AUUGAACGCUGGCGGCAUGCCUUACACAUGCAAGUCGAACGGCAGCGCGGGGGUAACCCUGGCGGCGAGUGGCGAACGGGUGAGUAAUAUAUCGGAACGUACCCUUGGGUGGGGGAUAACGUAGCGAAAGUUACGCUAAUACCGCAUACGAUCUACGGAUGAAAGUGGGGGCUCCGCAAGGACCUCAUGCUCAUGGAGCGGCCGAUAUCUGAUUAGCUAGUUGGUAGGGUAAAAGCCUACCAAGGCAUCGAUCAGUAGCUGGUCUGAGAGGACGACCAGCCACACUGGAACUGAGACACGGUCCAGACUCCUACGGGAGGCAGCAGUGGGGAAUUUUGGACAAUGGGCGAAAGCCUGAUCCAGCAAUGCCGCGUGAGUGAAGAAGGCCUUCGGGUUGUAAAGCUCUUUUGUCAGGGAAGAAACGGCGGUUUCCAAUACAGAUCGCUAAUGACGGUAC
rnacentral:rRNA from 1 species